ensembl:snoRNA
UCUUUCCCUAGGUGCUUUGCAGGUUUAGCUGCUGUGUCUCCUGUGCAACAGUAGAUACCAGAGAGGAGAGAGGCUAUGUUUAUGCUCAGUGUUAUGACCUAUGAACAUCUAAAUGAUCAGUUCCCUCAUUGA